rnacentral:rRNA from 1 species
GCUAUAAUGCAGUCGAGCGGACCGACGGGAGCUUGCUCCCUUAGGUCAGCGGCGGACGGGUGAGUAACACGUGGGUAACCUGCCUGUAAGACUGGGAUACCUCCGGGAAACCGGGGCUAAAACAAGAUGGUAGAUCGACCUCCCUGGGGGGGUGAUAGUGGCCUUUGACUCUGGUUAAGAGGAGAUUUGAAUGGGAGACAACGNGCUCUGUGAUCCCCAUCGGGAAUCUCAGGAGUAAAUGUUACAGAAUUGACUUGUUCACGGACAGGUGGUGUCUCUCCCCCUUCUCUGCCACCCUGAUUGGCCAUGUUUGCUGCGUGACGGAAAUGGGUGCGAUGNACGAAAGGUGCCUGGUGGCGGCCGUAGUGCCCGCANGGGUCGACUGAACAACACCUAUGGACACACAAGAGCAGCCGUCAAACCCCAGGUGNAAACCGUGAUGACAUUCGCUGGCCAUGCAUCCCGUGUCGGAAAGACAAUUACAAAAUUUGCGUACUUGACAUAAUGGACAUACCUCNUGGGAUAGGACGAAACAGAUCGUUAAAGAGUUUGUCGCAAUGCGGCCGAUUNGUCCACGAAUAGGAACUAAGAAGUGAGCCUNGAAGGGGGUAGCGAGUAUGUUCGUUCACAAUAAACUGAAAGCUAGAGGAUAAUGAGGUUCUUAACGGGGGAACUCUAGCUCGAGUAAGACGCUGCCCGNNNAUGGAUCAAGUCCCAGUCCUCAGACUGUACAUGCAUAUUUCGACAUGGGCACAAUUGCAUCUCCACUCCUCAAACCUGCGUCUCAACUCAUUAUUGACCUAA